UCUUAUCAAGAGUGGCUGAGGGACUGGCCCUUAGACGCCCAGCAACCGACUUCAUGUGCGGCCUCGAUGGAUUUCUGAAAAUCACUGAUGAAGAACGGUGCCAAUUCCAGCGGAAUAUUUUGUCCGGUCGAUGAGA
rnacentral:ncRNA from 1 species